UCUUUAAAUGCCGCAAAGCCACGUGGGAAAUACGGUGGUCAUGUGGUUUUGCCCUUGAAACAUGUGAACUGUUUGUUCUCUUUCGAAUCUCAGGACCUGGCUAUGAUUCACAGAACUCAUUUGAAAUGUUGCAAGGAAGCCCACUUAUUUCUGCAAUUAAUACACCCCUUAUAAACGCUGCCUUGUGAUAGAUAAGAAAGCAGACACUUCAGGCAAAGAAUCUCCUUGACAGAAUUCACACAGAUCCUAAUGGAAUGAGACCAGAGAUCAACGGCGGAGAAACCACAGGGAAUGCAGGUUUGUCUGCAACCAGCAUGACAAGGUUUGAACAAACAGCGGGCGGUUGAAGAAGUCAGAAGAUGGGAAUGGAAAUUUCCUAGAAACGCGAAAAUGGAAAGACUAUGUGUCAGAAUCUUUGAGAUACAACAGAGUCAGUUCUAAAAGGAAUCCUUAAUAACCACAGGGCUCUGUCAAAAGCCCUGAAGAGAUCUCAACUAAAUACCUAGUUAUGUAUCUCAAGGUCUUAGGGAAGCAAGAAUAAGGCAAAUACGAGAUUAGAGGAAAGAAAGAGAUAAUCAUGAUUGGAGCCAAAAUGAAUGAAAUGGAGACCAAGAAGCAGCAUAGGGCCAAUGGAACAGAGAGUUGUGGGAGGGGAGGCACACACACACACACACACACACAUAUACACAUACACACACACAUAUAUGCACAUACAUAUACACAUACACACACAUACACAGAUACACAUACACACACAUACACACAUACACACAUACAUACACACACAUACACACAUACACAUGCAUACACACAUUUAUAUACACAUACAUACACACACAUACACACACAUACACACACACACAGACAUGGAUGGGGGAUGGGGGCAGGAGUGUUGCUCACAGUACAAAUAAGUGAUGGGUUAGUCAGAGUUUAAAACACCAUUCCCCCGAGGAGCACUUUCUGUUUGUGUUUGUUUGUUCCAAUUCUGGGAAGGAUACAGGGUGGAAGAAAUCCUUCAUUGUUUGUGGACAUGUAAAUUAAGCCAGCCACCAUGGAGAUCAGAAUAAAGGUUCACCCAAAAACUCAAAGGAGAGCUACUCUCUGAUCCUUCUCUGGUAAGCCCAGGCCACACCCAGAAGACUGUCUCUCUAUAUCUCUAUAUCUCUGUAUCUCUAUAACUCCAUAUCUCUGUAUCUCUAUAUCUAUCUCUAUAUAUAAUCACAUAUAUAUGUAUAUAUACAUAGAUAUAGAUGUAGAUAGAGAGAGACCUAUACAACUGUGUUUACUGUGGCAGAGUUCAUCACAGCCAAGGUGUGGAUACAGCCUAGAGGCUGUCAACAGAAGAACAGAUAGGGAGAGCCUGGUAAAUACCUGACAUAGCCCUCAGCUGGAAGGACGGUGUUAACGCCAACUCUAGGAAAUGAGAGAACGGUGGGCUGGGCCCUCUGAUGGAGAAACGGCAGUGUCCCAGAAGCUCAGCAUGUUUAUUUUACGGAGUUAAACAGCAAGGUGGGGGUCACUGAACACAGCUGAACAAGGAGGUGUGGCCAUGACGUGCAGAUAAACAAGAAGAUGUAUUUAUUAUACCCAACUGCACCAGGAGGCAGCUUCAGCCUGGUUUAGUUAGGAGCCAUCUCUGUGGGAGCGGUCUUCAGGCUGUAACACCCAGCAGGGAUACAGUUAUGGUGGACAUACUCGGCACAUGGUCCAGGGGAAGGCUUCACCGCCAUACCUCUCAACCUUACCCCUGGGGUAAAGCUUUGCCAUUUCCUACGGGUCUGAGGCUGUGGUCGGCUGUGGUCCUUGACAUGGCCACGGCCGUGUAAAACUGUACACAUUUACUCAGGAUGCCAUCCUCAUAGACAGGUACCUCGUGUCUCUGCCCAUUCAUGGAGUCAUAGACAGGUACCUCGUGUCUCUGCCCAUUCAUGGAGUCUGCAAUAAAUACUGAAAUAAAGCCACAAAAAAGCGUAGAAAGCAACCAACAGGAGCUGGUGGGAUUGAUAAGCAUCCCAUGACUUUAGGCAAUUAAUGUCAUCUGAAAAGGAAGAAAAAUCUAAAUAAAGUGAUACCCUCCACUGCCCCUUGGGGACACGAAUGCAAAAACCCAUCAACAAAAUGCUAGCAGAACAAACCCAGUGAUAUUUAAGAGGAUUAUGCUGGAUAUCCAGGGAAAGCGUUCUCCAGCAAUGCAAGGUUGGCUUGAUCUCCUAGUCAUUCAGUGGAACGCAGUACACUGAAAGCAUUAAGGACACUAACCAUGUGGCUGUUUAGAUCGUUAGAUACGGGAAACAUAUUUAACAAAAUCUAAUGCUGUUCUUUGCCAUACAAAUGUUCUGGAAACUAGCACCUGGGAACCUCGCUGUGUGACAAUGGAAAUCUGUAACCAACCGUAGAGACCACCCUUAUUAAUGAUGAAAGACCAAAUGUUCUCCCUAUAUCCGGGACCAGUCGAGGGAUGUCUAUGUCUGGUCACUUCUACUCAACAAAAUGUUAGCAUUUUACCCCUGAUAACGGUGGAAGAGAAAGAAGCUUGGAAUUACCUCUAAGAAACCCUAAGGAAGCCAGGGAAAGAAAUUAUAGCAAAUAGAUGGGCUCAGAAGAAUGGCAGACCAGAAGCACUGUGUUGAACUCGGUCUCCUUUCCCGCACCGUCAAAGAACAACUCGGAUCUGAACUGGUGAGAGGAGCAACACUUAACAAUACAACGUCCAGGGCUAAAUGCACAGACACGUAAACGUAAUACCGCAAAACGCUGGCAAAGUAAGACUUCAGGAAAUGUGAAGACAUUACGGGUUUACGAACUGGAAAGGUGGGUGUUGUUAAAACGGAAUCCUCUCCCGGUGGCCUAUCAGACACUGUCAUCACCGCCAGCGUCCCAAAGUUUACCCUGACAUGGAUAAACGUACAAGGCAAUGUGUCUGAAAACUUAGAAGUCGAGUGCUCAGGCUUCUGUGUUCCAGGUUUGCAAGUCAUCAAGAGUGUGGCUCUGAGACAAGGAGGGCAUCCCUGGAGCAGAGCUAAGAGUCCAGAAAUAAGCUUGUGUCUUUACAGUCAAUUGAUUCUAACAAAGUUUCUAAAGUGUGUGACUGGGGGCGGGAGGAAUUGUCACUCGAGCUGUGGGGACGACUGCAUGCACGCACGCAGAAGAAUGCAGAAGGACCACGCACCCCAUUGGAAGAGUAGCCCAAGGCAGAAGCCAGGCCUGAAUCAAAGAUUACUCAGGGGCAGCCUCGUGUGUAGCCUGGGGUUGGGCAGAGCUGUCUUCACAGUGCACGGAGAAACAGCAGCAAGAUAGAGCAGACACACCUGACUCCAGAGGAUGCCACCAGAAGAUUAAACAUCAGUGUGCCAAGGGGCACCAUCAGACCAGGAAUCUAACAAGAGUCUGUGCUCAGGGUUCCGGCAGAAAGGAGCGACACCACGACGUUCUUCUCAAAGCAGUUUAGUCAGGAACCUUUCUUUCUGCGUGCAAGCAGCAAUC